UGGGGAAUAUUGGGCAAUGGGCGCAAGCCUGACCCAGCGACGCCGCGUGAGGGAAGAAGGCCCUUGGGUCGUAAACCUUUGUUGUAUGGGAAGAAGGACGUGACGGUACCAUACGAGGAAGUCCCGGCUAACUACGUGCCAGCAGCCGCGGUAAUACGUAGGGGACGAGCGUUGUCCGGAAUUACUGGGCGUAAAGGGCGCGCAGGCGGAUAUUUAAGUCAGCUGGUAAAGUCAUGGGCUCAACUCAUGGAUGCGGUUGAAACUGGAUAUCUCGAGUGCUGGAGAGGUAGGCGGAAUUACCGGUGUAGCGGUGAAAUGCGUAGAUAUCGGGAAGAACACCAGUGGCGAAGGCGGCUUACUGGCCAGCAACUGACGCUGAGGCGCGAAAGCCAGGGGAGCGAACGGGA
rnacentral:rRNA from 1 species